UACGUAGGGGUCUAGCGUUGUCCGGAAUCAUUGGGCGUAAAGAGCGUGUAGGCGGUCCGGUAAGUCCGCUGUGAAAGUCGGGGGCUCAACCCUCGAAUGCCGGUGGAUACUGUCGGGCUAGAGUGCGGAAGAGGCGAGUGGAAUUCCUGGUGUAGCGGUGAAAUGCGCAGAUAUCAGGAGGAACACCUAUUGCGAAGGCAGCUCGCUGGGACGUAACUGACGCUGAGACGCGAAAGCGUGGGGAGCAAACAGG
rnacentral:rRNA from 1 species